rnacentral:rRNA from 1 species
UACAGAGGUCUCAAGCGUUGUUCGGAUUCAUUGGGCGUAAAGGGGUGCGUAGGUGGCGCUGUAAGUCGGGUGUGAAAUUUCGGAGCUUAACUCCGAAACUGCAUUCGAUACUGCGGUGCUUGAGGGACUGGAGAGGAGACUGGAAUUCAUGGUGUAGCAGUGAAAUGCGUAGAGAUCAUGAGGAAGACCAGUGGCGAAGGCGGGUCUCUGGACAGUUCCUGACACUGAGACACGAAGGCCAGGGGAGCAAACGGG